GCCCGUUGGCGGGUGCUAUACAUGCAGUCGAGCGGACAGAUGGGAGCUUGCUCCCUGAUGUUAGCGGCGGACGGGUGAGUAACACGUGGGUAACCUGCCUGUAAGACUGGGAUAACUCCGGGAAACCGGGGCUAAUACCGGAUGCUUGUUUGAACCGCAUGGUUCAGACAUAAAAGGUGGCUUCGGCUACCACUUACAGAUGGACCCGCGGCGCAUUAGCUAGUUGGUGAGGUAACGGCUCACCAAGGCGACGAUGCGUAGCCGACCUGAGAGGGUGAUCGGCCACACUGGGACUGAGACACGGCCCAGACUCCUACGGGAGGCAGCAGUAGGGAAUCUUCCGCAAUGGACGAAAGUCUGACGGAGCAACGCCGCGUGAGUGAUGAAGGUUUUCGGAUCGUAAAGCUCUGUUGUUAGGGAAGAACAAGUGCCGUUCAAAUAGGGCGGCACCUUGACGGUACCUAACCAGAAAGCCACGGCUAACUACGUGCCAGCAGCCGCGGUAAUACGUAGGUGGCAAGCGUUGUCCGGAAUUAUUGGGCGUAAAGGGCUCGCAGGCGGUUUCUUAAGUCUGAUGUGAAAGCCCCCGGCUCAACCGGGGAGGGUCAUUGGAAACUGGGGAACUUGAGUGCAGAAGAGGAGAGUGGAAUUCCACGUGUAGCGGUGAAAUGCGUAGAGAUGUGGAGGAACACCAGUGGCGAAGGCGACUCUCUGGUCUGUAACUGACGCUGAGGAGCGAAAGCGUGGGGAGCGAACAGGAUUAGAUACCCUGGUAGUCCACGCCGUAAACGAUGAGUGCUAAGUGUUAGGGGGUUUCCGCCCCUUAGUGCUGCAGCUAACGCAUUAAGCACUCCGCCUGGGGAGUACGGUCGCAAGACUGAAAACUCAAAGGAAUUGACGGGGGCCCGCACAAACGGUGGAGCAUGGGGGUUUAAUUCCAAAACACCGCGAAGGAACCUUACCUAGGUCUGGACAUCCUUUGGACAAUCCUAUAAAAAUG
rnacentral:rRNA from 1 species